UUCUGGGGGGAGGGGGGGAGGGGGGCAGGGGGAGGGUGGUUGGGUUAUGGACACUGGGGAGGGUAUGUGCUAUGGUGAGUGCUGGAAAGUGUGUAAGACUGACCUGAACUCACAGACCUGCACCCCUGGGG